rnacentral:rRNA from 1 species
UAAUACCGCAUAACGUCGAAAGACCAAAGAGGGGGACCUCGGGCCUCUUGCCAUCGGAUGUGCCCAGAUGGGAUUAGCUUGUUGGUGGGGUAACGGCUCACCAAGGCGACGAUCCCUAGCUGGUCUGAGAGGAUGACCAGCCACACUGGAACUGAGACACGGUCCAGACUCCUACGGGAGGCAGCAUG